GACGUAGGGCGCGAGCGUUGUCCGGAUUUAUUGGGCGUAAAGAGCUCGUAGGCGGCUUGUCGCGUCGAAUGUGAAAUCUCAGGGCUCAACUCUGACAUUGCAUUCGAUACGGGCAGGCUAGAGUUCGGUAGGGGAGACUGGAAUUCCUGGUGUAGCGGUGAAAUGCGCAGAUAUCAGGAGGAACACCGGUGGCGAAGGCGGUUCUCUGGGACGGUACUGACGCUGAGACGCGAAAGCGUGGGGAGCGAACAGG
rnacentral:rRNA from 1 species